rnacentral:rRNA from 1 species
GAUGAACGCUAGCGGCAGGCUUAACACAUGCCAGUCGAGGGGUAUUUCUCUUCGGAUAGCGAGACCGGCGCACGGGUGCGUAACGCGUAUGCAAUCUACCUUUUACAGAGGGAUAGCCCAGAGAAAUUUGGAUUAAUACCUCAUAGUAUAUAGACUCGGCAUCGAGAUUAUAUUAAAGUCACAACGGUAAAAGAUGAGCAUGCGUCCCAUUAGCUAGUUGGUAAGGUAACGGCUUACCAAGGCUACGAUGGGUAGGGGUCCUGAGAGGGAGAUCCCCCACACUGGUACUGAGACACGGACCAGACUCCUACGGGAGGCAGCAGUGAGGAAUAUUGGACAAUGGGCGCAAGCCUGAUCCAGCCAUGCCGCGUGCAGGAUGACGGUCCUAUGGAUUGUAAACUGCUUUUAUACGAGAAGAAACACUGCUACGUGUAGCAGCUUGACGGUAUCGUAAGAAUAAGGAUCGGCUAACUCCGU